GGACUACCCGGGUAUCUAAUCCUGUUUGCUCCCCUAGCUUUCGUGCCUCAGUGUCAGGUGUUGUCCAGAGACUCGCCUUCGCCACUGGUGUUCCUCUCGAUAUCUACGCAUUUCACUGCUACACCGAGAAUUCCAGUCUCCCUUCCAACCCUCCAGCAAGAUAGUAUUCAAUGCCAUUUCCGGGUUAAGCCCGGAGAUUUCACAUCAAACUUACCCCGCCACCUACGCACCCUUUACGCCCAGUGAAUCCGAACAACGCUUGGGACCUCUGUAUUACCGCGGCUGCUGGCAC
rnacentral:rRNA from 1 species